GGGCAUGGUGGCUCAUGCCUAUAAUCCCAGCACUUCGGGAGGCCGAGGCAGGUCGAUUACUUGAGGUCGGGCACUCAAGACCAGCCUGGUCAACAUGGCAAAACGUUGUCUCUAUUAAAAAUACAAAAAUUAGCUGGGAGCGGUGGCGCACACCUGUAAUUGCAGCUACUUGGGUAGCUGAGGCAUGAGAAUCACUUGAACCUGGGAGCCGGAGGUUGCAAUAAGCUGAGAUCGUGCCACUGCACGCCAGCCUGGGCAACAGAGUGAGACUCAGUCUCAAAAAAAAAUAAUAAUAAAAAAUAAAAAUCCAGUUUAAUGGGAAUUCAUAUGGGUAUACAGUUAAUUUAUAUUAGCCAA